rnacentral:rRNA from 1 species
UACAGAGGUCUCAAGCGUUGUUCGGAUUCAUUGGGCGUAAAGGGUGCGUAGGUGGCGGGGUAAGUCAGGUGUGAAAUUUCGGAGCUUAACUCCGAAACUGCAUUUGAUACUGCCUUGCUUGAGGACUGGAGAGGAGACUGGAAUUUACGGUGUAGCAGUGAAAUGCGUAGAUAUCGUAAGGAAGACCAGUGGCGAAGGCGAAUCUCUGGACAGUUACUGACACUGAGGCACGAAGGCCAGGGGAGCAAACGGG